AAAAUAUAAGCUAUUGAAUAUUACGGUGGCAAACGCCCAGGAACUCCUAAACCCCCUGGACCUCCUGGGACUCUUGGACCAAGCGGACUGCGUCCUAAUGGGUUUGGGCCGAACGGAUCAAAGAGCAUUCCUCCACCACGUGAUGGGCCCGAAAAAGGAUCUAGAUCUGAUCUACCCACAUUUCUGGGAUCAGCCAACGGGUCCCUGCAAGAUUAUAUGAUUUCAUUAGUUGAAGAGCGUGAAGAGAACAAGCAUUUAGGAUGUUGAAUCGGAGAGUGGUAACACAGGGGUACUCGGGAAAGGAAUUCUCAGGUUCAAGAAUUCAUUGAGGUCAAUGGGUCAUCAAAUUUGAUCGCCUCGAAGACCGAAGUCAUCGUCUGUCCAUAUCUGUAAGUAUUUCGAUAUAUUAUUUCUCCAAUUACCAACGAGGAACAGCAGGGCCUGGCCUACGAGGUGGAUCUACCCUUAGAGGAUCAUAGUCCCGUACAACGUGUUCGGUGGUAGAACUUCCUGACUCUGUUUGUGAGUAUGUUUCCCGGGUAUUGCCUGUGUAAACAGGUUCGACUAGAUCUGUUUUGAUGAUUUUUAUAACAGCUUGGAAUGUUGGAAUCAAUGUAGAUAGCUUUCCAUUCAAGGAAGUUACAUCUGUAUCAACAGCAAACUGGAUAUUGGACACACUGUGAUCUUCGAUUCGCUGUAAGAAUUGAUCAAUAUUAAAUAUAAAAAGAAGAGUCUACAGUAAUAGAGCUGUGGUACCUAAAUAGGUCCAUAAAACCUUCAGCUUUUCAAUUACCAUCAGAUUCAGAAGUAAAUCUGCGUCUGAUCUUGUUCCGAUUAGAAUGUAUAAUUUUCCUUCUUUCAAAUAUCGCAAAGUGUAAUUUGGUUUUUGAUUCCAGUCCUCGGGUAGCAAUUCUGAACCAGUGUCUGCUGAGUCAAAGCUUUUCUGUGAAUGAUCAGGAUUCACAUUUUAUAAGUUUUGCAGAAAAUUCCUACUAACCGCGUCACCAGUGCCAAUACAUCUGAAUCCACUUUUGAUCAAAUACCAAUGCACAAGGGUGAUCAGAACGUCAUCCUUCUUCUUGAUUUGCUUCUCUACCAAUUUGUAAAGUAACUCAUAUCCAAAAAUAUCACAUAUUUCGC